UACGUAGGGGGCGAGCGUUGUCCGGAGUUACUGGGCGUAAAGAGUGUGUAGGCGGUGCUCUAAGUUUGGUGUGAAAUCUCCCGGCUCAACCGGGAGGCUGCAUCGAAUACUGGAAUGCUAGAGGGUGGGAGAGGUAAGCGGAAUUCCUGGUGUAGCGGUGAAAUGCGUAGAUAUCAGGAGGAACACCUGUGGUGUAGACAGCUUACUGGACCACUUCUGACGCUGAGACACGAAAGCGUGGGUAGCAAACAGG
rnacentral:rRNA from 1 species